rfam:Lonsdalea quercina strain ATCC 29281 genome assembly, contig: Ga0052894_scaffold00002.2
UCCACGCCAACUGGAGAGCGGUUGCCAGACAACCCACCGAAGGGGCAAGCAGCAGCUGCUGCACAAACUCUCAGGUAAAAGGACAGAGGGAGGGGC